AAUCCAUGAUUAGGGCAUUUACGCAGCAUUGCUUUGUAUCGAUCCCAUGCUUCACAUAGAGUCUCAUUGGAACCUUGAGAAAACACUGCGAUUGAUGUCUUUGACU